AAGAGCAAAACACAAUCCUUACACACCAUGUGGCACAUCUUUUUUGCAUUUUGAAACUGGAGAAAACCCUAGAAACCAAACUCUCUCUCACAUUGCCAUCUGCCUCCAUAAUGAUAACACUAUGCUUGCUACAAUCAUGGCGGACGUCAUGGUAACAAAGGAGAUCGAGGACACCGCGCUGCGUCUCGGCGUCAAUCUCUCCACUCUCGAUCUCGACGCCAUUCGCCUCCCUCCCGGCGAAGAUUGCGGCCUCUUGAGCCACCUUUUCUCAGGCUUGCAGCCUCUUGAGCAAGUUCUUGAAGGAGAAACAUGCUUCUGCUGAUUCCACCCUUGGAAUUGGUGGAAAAAUAGAACCUAAAAAAGCGAGUACCAAGGAUUUGUUAGGAAGCUUACAAAACUCAUAUGGGGCCUUAAAGCUAAGCGCUUCUGCCAUGGAAUUUCUUCCCCAGCUUGUGGAAAACCCCUGAAUUAAGAAGUCUAGUUGUGCUACUGUAUUUUUUAUUGUUAUUUUUUUUCUGAAGUCUAAGAAAAAAGUAAAAAAAAAAAGUGAUUUUUGUUCGGUGGAAUAAUUUAAGGAAUUUUGACUUCUAAUUUUUUAUCUUUAUUGGUAGAUUAUAUGUGAAUUUCAUUAUGAUUAUAGUUGGAGAUGGUAAGGGAUCCUCUGGAUCUGAGGCGGUAUGCAAAAACCAAGGACGACGAUGACCUAACUCAAGCAUUGGUGAAGGAAAUCAUAGAGAAAUGUCUUGGUUUCGAAGUUGAGCAGAGGAGUUUGGUGAUUCGUCUCAAGAGUUAUGCCAAGAGGAAAAGAUUUUGUAUAAAUUGAUAUCUGGUCUUCACUCCUCCAUAUCAAUUCAUAUAGCUUUUGAUUAUCUACUUGAUGAAGCUACAAAUUUGGCUUCAUAUUAUCUGGAACAGGCAGAGUAUGAUACUGGUAACCCCAAUGAGGACCUUACAACACAAUCCUUGAUAAAACAGCUACUUUACAACCCCAAGCUUCAAGCUGCAUGUCCAAUUCCAUUUGAUGAAGCUAAUUUGUGGAAAUGCCAAAGUGGACCUGAGCUAAAACAGAAAAUUCAACAAUAAUUCAGAAACAUCAGUGCAUUGAUGGAUUGUGUAGGAUGUGAGAAAUGUCGAUUAUGUGGUAAGCUAUAUUAUAUAUCUUCAUAUGUCCUUUUACUUGUUUCUGCAUAAUGCAUACAAUUCAUUUCUAUAUUAUUAUAUAUCUUUCUAGCUUCCUCCAUAUUCCACAAUACCUUUGGUGUAAUAUUAUUGAAGGAAAGCAUUUUCAAUUUUUUAAGGACACCUGCACUUUUAAUAAUAUUGUUUGAAUACUUCCUUAUCCUUUUCAAUUUAUUUAAUUAUUGAAUGGUUUCAGUCCAAAUUAUUUAAUUAACUCCUUUCACCCAUUUUUUCUUAAUUCUUUUUCAAAAUAAUUUCUUGAUAUUUUUUUUGUUAACUUCUUAAUAUUUUUCAUGUGUGAAUCGAACUCGAGUGGUGAUGGAGACAAUUUUACAAGCAACGUGAAAAGGCUCAUAAUUGAUUUGGUCACCAUUUGAAGGAAGAGAGUGUGAAAGAGUGAGGUCAGAGUUGCCAGUAGAUGAAGACAAUCGUCAUCAGUUGCAGCUGCAAAGGAAUGAGGUAAUUGCAUUGACGAACCUUCUCAAUCGACUCUCGGAAUCUGUCAAAUUCGUCCACGAAGUGGGACCUACAGCUGAAAGGAUCAUGGAAGGAGGACAUUUUUCUGCUCAUACAAGAACACUGAUUAGCUCAUGGAAAAAAAUUUGGUCCUAUGUAUCUAAAACUUAGGUAACAUGCUCUCUUAUGAGUAUUUGUCAUAUUUCUCAUUUGUUGUACCAAACUGAGUAUUACAUGUUUGCAAUUUGCAAGCUAUAAAUAAGAACCAAAUUUUACCGAUUAAAAAAAGAACCAAGUUUUAAUUUU